rnacentral:lncRNA from 1 species
UUUUUUUUUUUUUUUGUUCUACCCAGUUAUGUCAAGAGCUUCUUGCCCUUUUUUGGAGGUUUAAGUUCUUCAGCCAGCAUUCAGUGGAUGUUCUGUGCGAGUCAUUUUACAUGUAGAUUUGUGGGGUUUUUUUGAUGUAUUUGUGGGAGAAGGUGAGCCCGACCUCUUACUCCUCCGCCAUCUUGCUCUGCCUCCCCCAGUUCUAUUUUAAAAUAAAAUAUGAGGAACAAAAACUAAGCAGAAGGCAUAACCCUCCCAGACUUUAGGUAAUAUUACAAAGGCACAAUAAUCAAGACAGUGUGGUACUGGUACCAAAACAGACAUACAGACCAAUGGACAGAACAGAGAACCCAAAAAUAAACUCAGACACCUAUGGUCAAUUAAUCUUUCACAAAGGAGGCAAGAACACAAAAUGUGAAAAAGACAGAAGACAAUCUUUUCAACAAGUAUUACUGGCAAAGCUGGACCAUUGCAUGCAGAUCAACAAAACUAGAACCCACCCAAACACCAUGCACAAAAAUAAACUCAAAAUGGCUGAAAGACUUAAAUAUAAGACAAGACACCAUCAAACUCCUGGGAGAGAACAUAAGCGACACAUUUCUCUGACAUCAACCUUACAAAUGUUUUCUCAGGUCAGUCUCCCAAAGCAACAGAAAUAAAAGCAACAAUAAACCAGUAGGACCUAAUCAAACUGACAAGCUUUUGCACAACAAAGGAAACCAUUAAAAAAAAAAAAGACAACUUACAGAAUUGGAGAAAAUAGUUUCAAAUGAUGCAACCAACAAAGGCUUAAUCUCUAAAAUAUACAAACAACUUAUACAACUCAACAGCAAAAAAGCCCAUAACCCAAUAGAAAAAUGGGCAAAAGACCUGAAUAGACUUUUCUCCAAGGAAGGUGUACAGAUGGCCAACAAGCACAUGAAAAAGUGCUCAACAGCUCUGAUUAUUAGAUAAAUGCAAAUCAAAACUACCAUGAGAUCCCACCUCACACAAGUCAGAAUGGCCCUCAUUAAUAAAUCCACAAAUAACAAAUGUUAGAGUGUGGAGAAAAGGGAACUCUCCUGCACUGUUGGUGGGAAUAUAAAUUGGUACAACCACUAUGGAGAACAGUAUGGCGGUACCUUAGAAAACUAUACAUAGAACUACCAUAUGACUCAGCAAUCCCACUCAUGGGCAUAAGUCUGGACAAAACUUUCCUUGAAAAAGACACAUGCACCUGCAUGUGCACUGCAACACUAUUCAUAAGAGCCAAGUCAUGGAAACAAUACAAAUGUCCACUGACAGAUGAUUGAAUUAGGAAGAUGUGGUAUGCAUACACAAUGGAAAACUACUCAGCCAUAAAAAGAACAAAAUAAUGCCAUUUGCAGCAACAUGGAUGGAACUAGAGACUCUCAUACUGAGUGAAAUAAGUCAGAAAGAGAAAGACAAAUACCAUAUGAUAUCACUUAUAUCUGGAAUCUAAUAUAUGGAACAAAUGAACCUUUCCACAGAAAAGAAAGUCAUGGAAUUGGAGAAUAGUCUUGUGGUUUCCAAGGAGGAGGGAGUGAGGGUGGAUUGGGAGCUUGGGGUUAAUAGAUGCAAACUGUUGCCUUUGGAAUGGAUUAGCAAUGAGAUCCUGCUGUGUAGCACAGGGAACUAUGUCUGGUCACUUAUGAUGGAGCAUGAUAAUGUGAGAAAAUAGAAUGUGUACAUGUAUGUGUAACUGGGUCACCAUGCUGUGCAGUAGGAAAAAAAAUUGUAUUUGGGAAAUAACAAAAAGAAAAAAAAGAACUGGGAGGCUGUUCGGAUACUACCUUGUAUAGAGCAGUAUUAAGAAACUUAGAAAUACUUAGGAAAUGGUUGAAUACAUUUAAAUAAGUUUGUGCUCUACCAAAGUUUCCCAGUAAUUUGUAGAAACAGAAUGUACUUUCAGUUGACCUCAGAAACACACGUUUUGCAUAUUAUUAUUCCUAAACUUGUAGGAUUGCAAAGAGCAUCCAAAUUCAUCCUUAUUUUAUGACCAAUAGCACAUAUUAUGAUUCAGCUGUCUGGAACAGAGCUAUAGAACAGAGUAUGUUGUUGUAUCUUAUUUUUAUUUUUUAUUUAAUUUUUGCAUGAAACACAUUGGCUGGCAGAGACAUCAAAUGCAAUCACAUGGACUCGGUAGCAACACAGCCUAAAUGAUUGGUCUCUCAAGGGGAGGUUAAUAAUGACAUCAGAGGAUUCCAAGAUGAUCCCCUGAAGUAUAGGGGGGAAAUUACAUUUUCUACUUAUGUUUACUUUUAAUUGAAACAAUUAAGAAAUUAAGGUUAACUAAGACAAUAUAUGCUUGAAGUGGUGUCAUCACUUGCUCCCUCUGUCCUGUAACCAGAUGUCAAGCUCCCAGGCACGGAUGUGAAAGAAGGGAGGGAAUUCUGAUACACAGACCUUCAUUCACUUGUUGGCUUCCAGUUUACUGCAGUUUAAGUAGGCUCAUUGUAUUUACAGAUUAAAUUAUGUCGAUUUAGCCAAGCCUAACAUUACAAAAUGGACAAGUGGCUUAAAAAGUUUCCAGGAAAUAAAUUACAAAUUGAGAAUACUGCUACUAAUGCAAGUGCAGCAAACUACAAAAAGAAUAGCAGAGAUGACGCGUCGCAUACUCCUAAAACAAGCUGUUCAUCAUUUAUAAUACAAGAUUAAAGACAAGGACACCCUAAUCCCACCUGACAAGAAGUCAGCUAAAGAAAUUCAAAUAACCAAGAAGACUAAACAAUGGAUUUACAUCCACACUUGUUAAUGAAGAAACUUGUUCUGCCUGUAUUCAUGCUUUAAAAAAUUAGCUAAGAGUAAUAUAAAGCCAUCACUUCUAUUAAUACAUUUAAAAGUGUGGUUUACUCUUUAUUUUGACCUUUUCAAAUGUCCAUGCUUUAUAUCAUUUAUAUGACAAAUUAGUAAAGAAUGUUGUGUAUAUAACUUGUAAAUAAAUUUCCUAAGAUACAUACAUAAGGAUGUGUGUAAAUGGUUUCACUAAUAGAAGAAGGUGCACAAUCAAAAAAUUUAUAGACAAAAAUUUCGAAAUAACCAGCCCAAACAAAUAAAUAUCAUAAAACAAAGAUUAAUUUUAUCCCCUGUGUAUAAUGUCAACAGUAGAAGUGUGGUUAAUUUCUGAAACUUAAGGGUGGUAUGCUUAUUAGAUGACCACAAGGCAGCUGGCUUGUAUAGAAUAUUCAAAUUUAUCUUGAUACUGGCAAUUUGCAAACUAUUUGGCUUUUGAAAAAUAUCAGAAUAACCUAUUAUCAACAGAUAUUUGGAAAAUAUCUUUAAUAUUGAAUGCCAAUUAUAACAUCUUCAAAAACAAAAUAUAUGCAGGACAUGAAUUUAAAAACCACAAACACUGCAGGGAGAAGUAGAAGAAGAAGGAUUUACUAUGUUCACAAAUUAGAAAACUCAAUGUUUUUAAAGUCAGUCCUCCCCAAAUUGGUCUAUAAACUAAAUGCAACUCCAAUCAAAAUCCCAGUAGGUUUUUUAAAAAGAGAAAUUGACAAGCUCAAAUUUUAAAAUUUUAUAGGAAUACAUAAAACCUAAAAUAACCAAAAUAAGUUUUUUUCAAAAAACAAAGUUGGAGGAUUUAAUCUGAUUCCAAGCCUUCUAAUAAAACUACAGUGAUUUAGACAAUGUGAUAUUGGCAUAGGAUAGACAAACACUUCAAUGGAAAAAAAUCAAGAGGCUGGAAAUUAACCCACUUAUAUGUGAUCCCCUAUUUUUCAACAAAAUAUGAAAGUAAUUCCAUGGGGAAAGUCAGUCUUUUCAACAAAUGAUUCUGGAACAAACAACUGGAUAUUCACAUGGGAGAAAAUUAUCCUUGACCUUUACCUCAAGCUACACAUAAAUGUUUGGAUCAGAGAUUUAAAUGCAAAAACUUGCUGUAAAAUUUUUUAAAGAAAAGGGUUAAUAGAUGCAAACUAUUGCUUUUGGAAUGAAUAAACAAUGAGAUCCUGCUUUACAGCACUGGGGACUAGAUCUAGUCACUUAUGAAGGAGCAUGAUGGAAUGAUAUCAGAAAAAGAAUGUAUAUAUCUAUGUGUGACUGGGUCACUUUGCUGUACGGUAGAAAACUGACAGAACACUGUAAACCAACCACAAUGGAAAAAAAUAAAAAUCACUGAAUAAAAGAAAAGAUAGGAGAAAAUCCUUGCCACCUUGUGCUAGGCAAACACAAAAAAGCAUGAAUCAUAAAAACCUAAAAGUGAUAAACUGAACCUCAUCAAAACAAAAUGUUUUUCUCAUAAAAGAAACAUCAUUAUGAAAAUGAAGAUAUAGCUAAAUACUCAGGGUGGGUAGGGGAGUGGAUAUUUAAAAUUCAUGUAUAUGAAUUCUUUUAUGAGCCCAGUAAUAAGAAAUCAACUAAUUAAAAGUAGUCAAAAAUUUGAACGUAGACUACACAAAAGAUAUAUAAAUGACCAACUAGCUCAAGAAAUAUUCUUCACAUCAUUUCUCAUUGGAGAAAUGCAAAUGCAAACCCAAUGCCAUGACCGCUUCUGCUCACAGGUGACCUCUACCUGCCUCCACAUAUACUUCUCACCAGACCCUGAGUAGGAUGUUGGGAGUCCAGGGCUCUGGGAGUGGGGGUGUUGCUGUACAGCUAGAAGAGGGUAGGGCUUUGGGAAGGGCCUGACUGCAGAAAGUUCUUUAGCUCCAUCAAAAGAAGGGAAUAGAGCUCAACUUAUUGCUAGGAUGACAACAUAUAAUGUGUGCAAGAUCCUCAACACACACAUAAAAUUUUAGGAUUAGUAAAUAAACAGCAAAUCCAUUGCCCAUAUGGUGAAAAUUAGACACAUAUGCUUGCUAAGCCCUUGAAAUGUGGCUAGUCUGAAUUGGGAGGUGCUGGUGUCUAAAAUACACAGUUACACAUAUAUGUAUACAUUUUUUCUCCAUUGUGGUGCUCCGUUGUAAGUAUAUAGACAUAGUUCUCAGUGCUACACAGCAGGAUCUCAUUGAUAAUACAUUCCAAAAGCAAGAGUUUGCAUCCUUAACCCUAGGCUCCCAAUCCCUCCCACUCCCUCCCCCUCCCCCUGGGCAACCACAAGUCUAUUCCCCAUGCUAUACAGUGGAAAAAAAGAAGUGUGUUGGGGGAAAUAACAAUAAAAAAUUUAAAAAUUAAAAAAAUUUUUUAAAUUACAUAAAAAAUAAAAUACUAAAAAUAAAUAAAUAAAAUACACAGGACUUAGCUUGAAAAAAAUCAUGUAAAAUAUCUCAAUACUUUUUAUACUGAUUACAUGUUAAAUUGGGAACAAUUUGCAUAUCUUGGGUCAUAUAAAGUAUAUUAUUAUAAUAAUCAUAUAUGUAAUGUAUAUAAUUAUAUAAUAAUCAAAUUAAGUCAAUCUAAUUAUUACAUUAUUAAUUUUUUAAACAAUGAGAUAAUACACACUAGAAAUAAAUUAGAGUAUGGGGUUAACAGCUACACACUACUAUAUA